AAGUCGUAACAAGGUUUCCGUAGGUGAACCUGCGGAAGGAUCAUUAACACGUAUCCAAACGUUAAAACCCCCCCCGUGAACUUUCAAUCCUGCUCUUGUAACCCGCGUAGUUCCGCAAUCUCUGGUAAAUCAUAGCCCGGAAAGUUGUUUUGAUUCAGAGACCUCUGGCUACGUGAGAACAAUGGAACAGUUACAAUCGAGCGGUGGCAUUGUUUAGUGUCGGAAAGUGUCAUUGAUUGUGCAAGGAUAGCGCUUCACGAUUCCUGUAGACCAGGAGCUAUGCCAAAGGGUCCCCAUGCCCCCUUACAACCCCACAGUUUAAUGUAAAGCUCAAUGUAAUACAUUGGUAAAAAAACCGAACUGUUAACAAUGGAUAUCUUGGUUCUC
rnacentral:misc_RNA from 1 species